UACAGAGGAGCCAAGCGUUGUCCGGAUUGACUGGGCGUAAAGCGCACGCAGGCGGUUGCGCGCGUGGGGUGUGAAAUCUGGCCGCUUAACGGCCAGGCGCCAUCCCAUACGGCGCGACUGGAGUGAUGCAGAGGUCGAUGGAAUUGCCGGUGUAGUGGUGAAAUGCGUUAGAGAUCGGAAAGAACACCAAUGGCGAAAGCACUCUGCUGGGCCGACACUGACACUGGAGAGACGAAAGCUAGGGGAGCAAAUGGG
rnacentral:rRNA from 1 species